GUAGGUUACAGGCAUCUGGAUUUCCCUACUUUAAAACUUAGUGUUGUUGGUGGACGGCCAUUUUCUUGUGGUGGUGACCAGUUGUUCCGGAAAAGGCUUCUUUCUGAAGAUAUGGAGUCCAAGACAUGGAAGGAAGUGCCAUGAGAAUCUAUAAUACUGCUUCACGCACUCCAGAAAACCAUCUAGUUAUAUUUCUUGCACAUAAUGGGCCCACAGGNNNNNNNNUUCUAAUUUGAAUGACAUAUGUGGAAAGGAUUGGGUGUUUGGAGGUGGUGAUCAUGGUGAUCCUGAUCUAGCACAAGCAAUUGCCCACUUAAAAGAGACGACCAAACUGAAUAUUCCUCUGGUUGUGUUUGGUCACAUGCAUAAAGAGCUAGCUUAUGGAAAUGGUCUUCGAAAAAUGAUUGUGGUCAGCACUGACAAUACUAUAUACCUGAAUGGGGCAAUUGUUCCCAGAGUUAAAAGAAUCAAUGACGAUCAACGNUAGAAGCUUCAUGAAUAGCGAAACCUCACAGUUGACUCCAGAGUCCAAAGGUACGAGGCGCGCAUUUACUUUGGUUGAGAUUCUUGAAGGGAGAGUGG
rnacentral:misc_RNA from 1 species